UUCCUGGUGGUCCAGUGGCUAAGACUCUCACUCCCAAUUCAAGCAGCCUGGGUUCAAAUCCUGGUCAGGAAA
rnacentral:tRNA from 1 species